AUUGAACGCUGGCGGCAUGCUUUACACAUGCAAGUCGAACGGUAACAGGGAGCUUGCUCCGCUGACGAGUGGCGAACGGGUGAGUAAUAUAUCGGAACGUGCCCAAGAGUGGGGGAUAACGUAGCGAAAGUUACGCUAAUACCGCAUACGAUCCAAGGAUGAAAGCAGGGGACCUUCGGGCCUUGUGCUCCUGGAGCGGCCGAUAUCUGAUUAGCUAGUUGGUGAGGUAAAGGCUCACCAAGGCGACGAUCAGUAGCUGGUCUGAGAGGACGACCAGCCACCCUGGACCUGAGAACCGGUCCAGACUCCUACGGGAGGCAGCAGUGGGGAAUUUUGGACAAUGGGGGCAACCCUGAUCCAGCAAUGCCGCGUGAGUGAAGAAGGCCUUCGGGUUGUAAAGCUCUUUUGUCAGGGAAGAAAAGGGUACGGCUAAUAUCCGUGCCUCAUGACGGUACCUGAAGAAUAAGCACCGGCUAACUACGUGCCAGCCGCCGCCGUAA
rnacentral:rRNA from 1 species